UUUUCCUUUCAGGAACACGUUGGGGUGUAAGUACACACACACCGAAUGUAGAUGAAGCCGGUACUAACGCCGGUGUGUACAUCAUCUUGAUUGACGCUGAUGGCAGACAGUCCCCGCCUAUAUACUUGGAUAAUUGGUGGUGGAACGACUUUAUGACAGGUUCCGUAGACUCCUUCGACAUAGACGACCAGGUUAACCUUAGGGACGUCUGCGCUAUCAGAAUCUAUCAUGAUGACAGUGGCUUAUCCGCUGGCUGGUAUCUCGAAAAGGUGUGGAUCAGAAGGGGUUUGCUGAAAAACGAUCGCGUUUUUCAUAUCAACCGCUGGGUCCCAACACAACAAGAAGAGAGUAAAUCACACUAUGUAGUACAGCGCACGCCACCGUGUAGCGCAGGUCACCUGCCGUGAUGGAUCAACGUGGCAAAGGUAGACAGCGGAUGACAAGGAUGGAGAGAAGUAACGUGGCUUUGGAGCAGAUAUCCUGAGGUCAACUUACAGUACUGCAAACUGAAAUUUUGUUUUCGGCGUUUUAACUUUGAAGGCAUCCAGGACUCAAAUAGUUGGUUAAUUUGCUUUUAUUUGUAGAAACUUGCUGGCAUGUCCUAAUAAAGAACGUCUGUUCAUGCAUGAAA